rnacentral:rRNA from 1 species
UACAGAGGGUGCGAGCGUUAAUCGGAAUUACUGGGCGUAAAGCGCGCGUAGGCGGCCUUGCAAGUCGGGUGUGAAAUCCCCAGGCUCAACCUGGGAACUGCAUUUGUGACUGCAUAGCUAGAGUACGGUAGAGGGGGAUGGAAUUCCGCGUGUAGCAGUGAAAUGCGUAGAUAUGCGGAGGAACACCGAUGGCGAAGGCAAUCCCCUGGACCUGUACUGACGCUCAUGCACGAAAGCGUGGGGAGCAAACAGG